CAAUAGCGUAUAUUAAAGUUGUUGCAGUUAAAAAGCUCGUAGUUGGAUUUCGGGGUGGCCUGGCUGGUCCGCCGCAAGGUGAGUACUGGUCAGCCGCCCUUCCUCUCGAAAGCCCCGACUGCUCUUUACUGCAGUGGUCGGGUAGUUCGGGACGUUUACUUUGAAAAAAUUAGAGUGUUCAAGGCAGGCUAUCGCCUGAAUACAUUAGCAUGGAAUAAUGGAAGAGGACCUCGGUCCUAUUUUGUUGGUUUCUAGGGCCGAAGUAAUGAUUAAGAGGGACAGUUGGGGGCAUACGUAUUUAAUUGUCAGAGGUGAAAUUCUUGGAUUUAUGAAAGACGAACUAGUGCGAAAGCAUUUGCCAAGGAUGUUUUCAUUAA
rnacentral:rRNA from 1 species